rnacentral:sRNA from 1 species
CCCUAGCCCUGAUGGAAACGGCGUCCUUUCCUGUCUCGUCUUUUUAGACGAGACAGGAAAGAUAGAGUGUACAGCAGGAAAAAGC